GUGCCAGGCCUGGUUUUUAGCCAUGCUCUUCUAUCACGGUCCUGCAUUGCCUCUGAGAGCUUGCUGUGGCACACAGAUUCACUCCUCCAGCCAGGGCACUAAAGUGCCAGAUCGCAUCAUUUGCCCGUGUGGAGGCUGUCAGAACAGACUCUGCAGUCAUGUCUAUGCAGACCCAAGCGAGCGACCAUGCAUGGUACUGCAACAGCACAGCGGCUCUCAGCUCCCUCAGGCAUCUCUAGCAAGACAUCCCCUAGACAAGCUCUGUGCCUUCAGAUGCUCCAGGAAACUCUGAAGGAUUCAAGGAUUCUGCCCUAAGUCACCCUCAGGGAAAGAAACACGAUACCUUGCCAAGUUGGCAAGGAAGAUACACUCAAAGUCAUAUAGCCCAGAGAUACGGAGGUGAGCGGAUCAGUCAUUGUGUGACAAGGUAGCACUGGAAAAACAUGGGGCUUACCCAUUCAUAAUAGCCUGCUUUCAAAAAGGAGGCAGGGCCUUGGAGAAGCAGCAGUGCAUGCUAAUGCGUUACCUAGGAAUGGGGAACUCUAGUCCCUUCAACCCAGCACAGCUGUACAGAAGGCUGCUGACACAUGUUGCAAUAUACACAUGAAUCGUCACUGCAGAAAUAGCUGAAAGAUACGUCUUGUGCUACAACUCAGCAAUACUCCCCAAGUUAACAGCUGGGCUGACAUUAAUUAUAAAUCCUUUUCCCUUUUUCUCAUCUCUAAUAGGUCAUCUAAUCUAUGCCAAACGAAUUGCAGGGCUUUUCAGCAAAACAGAUUGUCAAAAGCUCUUUCAUCUACCGGAGAGGUUUAAAUAAUUGGACAUUUCUACUGGAAAACUAAUCUCUGAUCUAAUAGCUGUCACAUAGCUGAAAAUUUCAUUUCAUUCAAUGUUCAUUUCUGUCCAGACAGCUGAGCACCAUGCUGUAUUCCCCGCAAACAAAAUGUCCAUCCAAGAAAAAAAGAGGUUGUUGCAUUCAGUACAGUAUUCAAAAUCUUGAUGUGCCACCAACUAUGCAUGACAAAUGCUGGAGAGGAACAAAGUCUACAGGAAGAGAAGAGCGUGCGUGCUUUGGAGAGGCCGGGGAGUGGGGGAGCCCAGCCCGCAAUGUUCGAGUCCAGCUCCAAUUUUUCUCAGCAUUCCUGCAUUUUUGGAUGGAAGUUAUGGUCUGUGUGCAUUUCUGUGGAGAAGGCAGGGAGGAAGGGAGGGAGUCUUUUCUUUUUCCCAAACAACAUCUCGGCCCGUCUCGGACUCACCCGCCAACAACUAACAACCAAAGACAAACAACAUCACAGCUCCACAAUACUUAAGCUUGAUUGAAUGACGACAAUUCCAUGUUAAAAAAAAAAAAAGAACAUCAGAGCCUUCCACAGCUGUAUCAACAUUAUCUAUAAAAAAGCAUGACACUACAUGAAGCUUUGGCUGCGCAAGCCAAGAACCUAAAUCAGCCACAGCUUGGAGCAAGGCCAUCACUGAAUUCUCGUGUAAAGUGAUGCUGCCAUAUUGCUUACUUUCCACUGAGGUUUUCCACAAAUUAACAGCUGUAGCAGACUCCCAGAAAACAGAAACUCUUUCCAAGUCUUUCUUCUCUGAAAAUGUUGUUUCUUCACUUUAUUCUUCCCCAUAUGGAAAGGGAGAGGAGGAAAAAAAUCUGAAC
rnacentral:lncRNA from 1 species